ACUGUCUCAACAACAGACUCGGUGAAAUUGUAAUUCCGGUGAAGAUGCCGGAUACCUGCGACAGGACGGAAAGACCCCAUGGAGCUUUACUGUAGCUUGACAUUGGGUCUUGGUACUACAUGUACAGGAUAGGUGGGAGGCUUUGAAACCAGGACGCCAGUUUUGGCGGAGCCAUCCUUGGGAUACCACCCUUGUAGUACUGGGACUCUAACCAUAGGCCAUGAAUCUGGUCUUGGGACACUGUCAGGUGGGCAGUUUGACUGGGGCGGUCGCCUCCCAAAAGGUAACGGAGGCGCUCAAAGGUUCUCUCAGUACGGUCGGAAAUCGUACGUAGAGUGUAAAGGCAAAAGAGAGCUUGAUUGCAAGACAUACAGGUCGAGCAAGGAUGAAAAUCGGACUUAGUGAUCCGGUGGUUCUGCGUGGAAGGGCCAUCGCUCAACGGAUAAAAGCUACCCUGGGGAUAACAGGCUUAUCUCCCCCAAGAGUCCACAUCGACGGGGAGGUUUGGCACCUCGAUGUCGGCUCAUCACAUCCUGGGGCUGUAGUAGGUCCCAAGGGUUGGGCUGUUCGCCCAUUAAAGUGGUACGCGAGCUGGGUUCAGAACGUCGUGAGACAGUUCGGUCCCUAUCCGUCGCAGGCGUAGGAAAUUUGAGAAGACCUGUCCUUAGUACGAGAGGACCGGGAUGGACGUACCUCUGGUGUACCAGUUGUUCUGCCAAGGGCAUGGCUGGGUAGCUAUGUACGGAAUGGAUAAGCGCUGAAAGCAUCUAAGCGCGAAGCCAACUUCAAGAUAAGAUUUCCCACCGCAAGGGUAAGACCCCAGAAAGACUAUCUGGUUGAUAGGUCGAAGGUGUAAGUGCAGCAAUGUAUUUAGCUUAUCGAUACUAAUAGGUCGAGGACUUGACCAA
rnacentral:rRNA from 1 species